AGAAUGAUUCAGACCAUAACUGGUUUUUGUUUUGUUUCAGUUUUAACCAAAAGUUCUGACCCAGGCUCAUGCCUAUGCACCUAUAUGCGCUUGGCAUGGAUGUCCAUAAUUUACUAUCAUCGUAGAUUUGUAGUCCCAUGUCUAUCUUUCCUGUUUCCUGCUAUCCUGCUCCAAUCUGUAGGAAAGGCGAAAACUUUUUGUUUUCAGGAUAAGAGCAGACCUUUCUGUCCAUACCAGCACUGCUUCACCCUGAUGUCAUCUACUCUUUUCUCAUGUGCUUGAUCCAAAACAACGACUCCCCUGCACUGCGCCUUUAGGAGUUCUCUGAGUUAGCUUGUCUUGCUGCUCCCCGUGGCCGCUUUGUUUGUUGAGAGUACACACAGUACAUGCCCUGAAAGUAGCACCCCUUCCCUUGAAAAGACAUCUUGUAGUUCUGGUGCCAGGCAUGGCAGCACCACUCGGGGAGGGUUGUUGCUUUCCUGGACUUUCUCCUGACUGGAUUUAUAAAUCACAAAGGCUUCUGUGACAACAUCAGAGCCAGCCUUGUCCCCAUUGACCUGAAUGUCCUCUCUUAUGGCUUCAGCAUAGUAUGGCUCACAUGUACCUCCCGGGUCCCAUUCUGCAGCUUGAGCUCUUACUUGGAGUUGGUGGCAGGGAUGGGUGUGAGUGAGUUUUAGUUUUCUUUAUAGUGAUACUGUUUGCUUUUAGUACCUUUGCCCCUCUCAACCAGUAUCUUGGCACCUGCCUUCUACCUCUCCUUUGACGGUGGCAGCCUUCUUCUAUGACUCCUGCGUGGGUACUGGGCUCCCACUAAUAAGAGACUCUGUCCCAUUGGUGAACAGCUAUGUGGGCAGCUCUGAGGGUCGCUCCUGGUCUGCCUGCAUCCUUAGUUGCAGAGCAGGCUGUCUCCCCACACACUUCCAGGAGGACUACCCUGGGAGACACAAGAAAGGGCCUUAUAGCCACCAAACGGAGAUCUGCUGAUGGACCUGCCUCCUGCCAGUGCCAGGUAGGGGCCUGGUGACAGCAUCAUGAGGCAAAUAAGAGAGAAAAAGGCUCCACGGAGCAUAACAGGGUCUGACCCAGGAAUCCAGGAGUUCAUAUAGGAGCCCUGCCCUUCCAUUGCUGUGACAGACAGAAUGAGCAGGAGCCUAACUUAACAGCCCUCUGAGAGACUCUACCCAGAAGAUGACUGAGACAGAUGGAUAUACCUACAGACAAACAUUGGACGGAGGUUGGGGACCUCCAUGGCAGAGUUAGGGAAGGAGAUGACAACCUCACAGGAAGACCAACAGUGUCAACUAAUCUGGACCUUCUAGGAGUUCACAGAGACAGAGCCACCAAGCAAAGAGCAUACAUAGGCUGGUCUGAGCCCCCUGAUUCCUAUGUAGCACAGGGCUGUCAUAUCUGGCUGCCUCAGUGGGAGAGGAUGUGCCUAAUCUUGCAGGGAUUUGGUGCACAAGGGUGCGUGUGAGAGAGCUACAGGGGGUGUGCUGCCCUCUUAGAGGAGGAGGGGAGGGGAAUGGGGAGGAGCUCUGUGAGGGUAGACCAGGAAGGGGGCAACAUUUGGGAUAUAAGUAAAUAAAUGAAUUUUCA
rnacentral:lncRNA from 1 species